AUUGAACGCUAGCGGGAUGCUUUACACAUGCAAGUCGAACGGCAGCGCGGACUUCGGUCUGGCGGCGAGUGGCGAACGGGUGAGUAAUGUAUCGGAACGUGCCCAGUAGCGGGGGAUAACUACGCGAAAGCGUAGCUAAUACCGCAUACGCCCUACGGGGGAAAGCAGGGGAUCGUAAGACCUUGCACUAUUGGAGCGGCCGAUAUCGGAUUAGCUAGUUGGUGAGGUAACGGCUCACCAAGGCGACGAUCCGUAGCUGGUUUGAGAGGACGACCAGCCACACUGGGACUGAGAAACGGCACAGACUCCGACGGGAGGCAGCAGUGGGGAAUUUUGGACAAUGGGGGCAACCCUGAUCCAGCCAUCCCGCGUGUGCGAUGAAGGCCUUCGGGUUGUAAAGCACUUUUGGCAGGAAAGAAACGUCGCGGGCUAAUACCCCGUGGAACUGACGGUACCUGCAGAAUAAGCACCGGCUAACUACGUG
rnacentral:rRNA from 1 species